CACAACACAAUCUUCAUCACACAAGACAAAACAACUACAAUGAUCAUCAACGUCAUCCUCAUCUGGACCAUUGCAGCUUUUAUUCAAGGAUCCAGAGGAGUCACUCUGACUCAACCUGAAGUUAAAACUGUCCAGCUCGGUCAAACAGCUACAAUAGAGUGUCAUAUAGAUGUAGGAAUAUAUAGUGACUACUUAGCCUGGUAUCAGCAGAAACCUGGAGAAGCUCCUAAACUCCUCAUAUAUGACAUAAACACCCUCCAGUCAGGAACUCCAUCUAGAUUCAGUGGCAGUGGAACAGCAAGUACUGGAAAAGAUUUCACUCUCACCAUCAGUGGAGUCCAGACUGAAGAUACAGGAGAUUAUUACUGUCAGAGUUUACACUCCAUCAACAGUAAAUAUGUGUACACAUUCGGUGGAGGAACUAAACUGCUGCUCGCUGGUCCCACACUGAAGCCCUCAGUGUCUCUGCUGCCGCCCUCUUCUCUGCAGAUCUCUGGACACUCAGCCGCACUGCUCUGCCUGCUCAGCUCUUACUCUCCACAGGGGGCGCAGGUGAGCUGGACACUGGACGGCUCAGAGGUCACCGAGGGGGUUGUGACCAGCGCAGAGAGCGAGCAGAACGGCCGCUACAGCCGCAGUAGCGUCCUGACCCUCAGCAAAGCACGCUGGGAAGCGGGAGAGGAGUAUGUCUGCAAAGUAACACAUGCUGGAGCUCCUCAUGAGGCCUCGUUCCACAAGAGUCUCUGUUAGUCGCUCGCAGUGCUGAUGUUUCUCCAGCGAGCGCUGCUCUCUCCUGAAGAUGAGCCGUAUCUGAGUGUCCUGUGUCAGGCAGGAUUCACAUGAGUCUAGUGCUGCAGCUGUAGUCAUUUACAACUCAAUACUGAAAGAGAGCUCUAGUGUCGAAGCACUGGCUGAUCUUUCAAUCUGCUGUGUUUGCUGCAACAUUCAAUAAAGCUUCUCAACAAACUCCA